rnacentral:rRNA from 1 species
AUGAGGCAAGCUGAUCCUGAAAAGAAACGACCACACAGAUCAAAGGUUUAUUUAGCAACUCACAAGAAGAAGGACGAUGUUGAUGCUAAAAAUAAAGAUAGAAAUAAGCGCCUGGAUCGAUUGGAGAAUCUAAUAACCGAACGACCAGAGUUGGCACAAAAUUUGAAUGGAAGAGUCGCAUGGGAAGGUGAUGCCCUGCAGGAAGUGUUAGGGAAAGAAAAGAUUGGACAAGUGCAUGGCAUGGGUUUGCUUCCAACUCCUAAGCAAGUCUACGGUCGGAUGCCACGGUAUCUAAAGAACAUCAAUAUGACUACAACUGAUGGAUCACCAUAUGAAGUUGAACAUGACGUUUGGGAGGUAAUAGCAAAGAUGAAGGAGCAUAUAAAAAAGCAAGACCAGAUUAUUAAAGAUAUGAAUAACAAAGAAGGCUAUGUCAAUAAUGGCAUAGAAGAGGAAAACCUCCAAUCAAAUGAUAAUGGUAUUUCUCGGUCACCAGUACUGCUUGGUAAAACAAAGAGAACCCAGUGCAAUGGACCCGUUGAGGCACGCUCGUCUAUGCAACAUGACAUUCCUGAGGAUAAUAAUUUAUCACGUUUGCAUGAAAAGGUUGGCGACCAUGAUGUCAACCAAUUACAAAUUCAACAAAAUUCAUCAUCACCACAAGACCUUGUUAUUGAUUCCGUGCUAGAGGUGAGGGAAAUGAGGAAUAUUACGGGUGAAUCUGUUUCAAGACCGAACCAGCAAAGGACUAGAACUGAACACCCACACCGCUCAAAAAGAAGGCGUUCUUCUUCCAUCAAGGUGACAUGGCCAUUAGUCAAGCGGCAAGGCUCGCCACCAUGCUUAUGCUACUGCCGUUGCUGCUCAUUUCUUGCGGAGUCGGGAGCAUCCUCUGCUCAUCAAUGA